AGAGUUUGAUCCUGGCUCAGGAUGAACGCUGGCGGCGUGCCUAACACAUGCAAGUCGAGCGAUCUCUUCGGAGAGAGCGGCGGACGGGUGAGUAACGCGUGGGUAACCUGCCCUGUACACACGGAUAACAUACCGAAAGGUAUGCUAAUACGGGAUAAUAUAUAAGAGUCGCAUGACUUUUAUAUCAAAGAUUUUUCGGUACAGGAUGGACCCGCGUCUGAUUAGCUUGUUGGCGGGGUAACGGCCCACCAAGGCGACGAUCAGUAGCCGACCUGAGAGGGUGAUCGGCCACAUUGGAACUGAGACACGGUCCAAACUCCUACGGGAGGCAGCAGUGGGGAAUAUUGCACAAUGGGCGCAAGCCUGAUGCAGCAACGCCGCGUGAGCGAUGAAGGCCUUCGGGUCGUAAAGCUCUGUCCUCAAGGAAGAUAAUGACGGUACUUGAGGAGGAAGCCCCGGCUAACUACGUGCCAGCAGCCGCGGUAAUACGUAGGGGGCUAGCGUUAUCCGGAUUUACUGGGUGUAAAGGGUGCGUAGGCGGCUUCUUAAGUUUGUAGUCUAAGCCCGGAGCUUAACUCCGGUUCGCUACAAAAACUGAGUUGCUUGAGUAUGGUAGAGGCAAGUGGAAUUUCUAGUGUAGCGGUUAAAUGCGUAGAUAUUAGAAGGAACACCAGUGGCGAAGGCGACUUGCUGGGCCAUUACUGACGCUGAGGCACGAAAGCGUGGGGAGCAAAUAGGAUUAGAUACCCUGGUAGUCCAUGCUGUAAACGAUGAAUACUAGGUGUGGGAGGACUGACCCCUUCCGUGCCGCAGUUAACACAAUAAGUAUUCCACCUGGGGAGUACGACCGCAAGGUUGAAACUCAAAGGAAUUGACGGGGGCCCGCACAAGCAGUGGAUUAUGUGGUUUAAUUCGAAGCAACGCGAAGAACCUUACCAAGUCUUGACAUCCGGAUGACCGGAACUUAACCGUUCCUUCCCUUCGGGGCAUCCGAGACAGGUGGUGCAUGGUUGUCGUCAGCUCGUGUCGUGAGAUGUUGGGUUAAGUCCCGCAACGAGCGCAACCCCUAUCCUUAGUAGCCAGCGGUCUGGCCGGGCACUCUGAGGAGACUGCCAGGGAUAACCUGGAGGAAGGUGGGGAUGACGUCAAAUCAUCAUGCCCCUUAUGAUUUGGGCUACACACGUGCUACAAUGGCGUAAACAAAGGGAAGCAGGAAGGCGACUUUGAGCAAAUCCCAAAAAUAACGUCCCAGUUCGGACUGCAGUCUGCAACUCGACUGCACGAAGCUGGAAUCGCUAGUAAUCGCGGAUCAGAAUGCCGCGGUGAAUACGUUCCCGGGUCUUGCACUCACCGCCCGUCA
rnacentral:rRNA from 1 species